AACUGAUUUGCUUAAUUGCACCACAUGUGUUUUUCUUUGAAACAAACUUGCUUUGGCGGUGGGCCCAGCCUGCCGCCAGAGGUCUAAACUUACAACCAAUUUUUUAU
rnacentral:rRNA from 1 species